rnacentral:rRNA from 1 species
UACGUAGGGGGCAAGCGUUGUCCGGAAUUACUGGGUGUAAAGGGCGUGUAGGCGACUCCUUAAGUUGAAUGUGAAAUCUCCCGGCUCAACUGGGAGGAGUCAUUCAAUACUGAGGGGAUGUGAGGACAGAAGAGGGAAGUGGAAUUCCCGGUGUAGCGGUAAAAUGCGUAGAUAUCGGGAGGAACACCAGUGGCGAAGGCGGCUUCCUGGUCUGUCCCUGACGCUGAGGCGCGAAAGCUAGGGGA